rnacentral:rRNA from 1 species
UACAGAGGUCUCAACCGUUGUUCGGAUUCAUUGGGCGUAAAGGGUGCGUAGGCGGUCGUGCAAGUCGGAUGUGAAAUCUCAGGGCUCAACCCUGAAACUGCAUUCGAUACUGCGUGGCUAGAGUGCUGGAGAGGAGACUGGAAUUUACGGUGUAGCAGUGAAAUGCGUAGAUAUCGGGAGGAACACCUGUGGCGAAGGCGGCCCCCUGGGCCGGCCCUGACACUGAGACGCGAAGGCGUGGGGAGCGAACGGG